rnacentral:lncRNA from 1 species
AUCCAUACAUAUACAUAGUUUCAUCAAUAUUACACAGUUUCAUCAUAGGUAGCAAGUUUCAUCCAUACAUAUACAUAGUUUCAUCAAUAUUACACAGUUUCAUCAUAGGUAGCAAGUUUCACAAAGUCAAAACAAAAACUAAAGACAAGCACUCCAUCAACCCAAGCUUCCGUGAUCUGAAGCAAAUCUACAAAAUGGGAAAGAAGAAAGUUAGAAGAAGAAUACUAGAAGAAGAAGAUUAUUAUGAUGCAACUAAAAUGUGAAGAUUAUUAUGAUGCAACUUAUACCUGUAAAAUAGGUCAUUUUGGAGCUAAGUAUGGUUAUUAUGUCAUUUUUGAGCUAACUAAGCAUACUAAGUCAUUUUGGUGUAAAAAUGCUAAGUAAGGUCAUUUUGGAACUAAUAAGUUUAUUAUGUCAUUUUGGAGCUAGCUAAGCAUAUGAAGUCAUUUCGGAGCUAAAAUAUGUCAUUUCGUAAGUCAUUUUAGAGCUAGCUAAGCAUAUUAAGUCAUUUUGAAGGAAAAAAUGCUAAGUAUAGGUCAUUUUAGAGCUAUCCUAGGUUAAAUAGGUCAUUUUUGAGCUAAUUAAGAAACGCACUAGGCAAAACUUACCGUCAACCCGUAGGUGAAGGAUCAAGGUUCUUGCUCGCGGUAGUGGC